AUGGAAUUAGAGGUAUAGGUCUACAAUGGUUUAUAAAUUAUUUACAGGAAAGAACUCAAAUGGUCAAAUAUAAACAACAUAGGUCAACUGAAAUGAGUGUUAGGACUGGCGUCCCACAGGGUUCAAUUCUUGGACCACUACUAUUUCUAAUAUACAUUAAUGACAUUGAAAACUGCAGUAAAAUUCUUUCUUUCGUCUUAUAUGCCGAUGAUACAAAUGCCUUUUAUUCAAAUUCGUGCCUAAAAACUUUAGCUAGUACUAUACAAAAUGAAAUGAAUGAAGUAGUGCAAUGGCUUAACGCCAAUAAAUUAUCAAUCAAUGCAUCGAAAACAAAAUUUGUCAUUUUUAAAUCAAAAAAUAAGUCACAGCAUCAAGAAAUCAUAGUAAAAAUAAAUAAUGAUAUAGUUGAACAAGUACCUUGGGUAAAAUUCCUAGGUGUAUUAAUUGAUCAAGAGUUGACAUGGAAGAAUCACAUCAACUCCGUUCUGAAAAACAUAAUUAAAUCUGCCGGUCUGAUUGCUAAACUAAGACAUUUUACGAACAAAAACACUUCGAAAUUGAUUUAUUAUGCAUUGGUCUAUCCAUACCUCACGUACGGAAAUCUAGUUUGGGGAAGUACAUACCCAACAAGGUUACAAAAGUUACUAAAUGUGCAAAAAAAAAUUGUACGACUAAUCUGUUUUAAAUCUUAUAUGGAUCAUUCUGAACCAAUAUUUUUACAAUUGAAAAUCUUGGAUAUCUACAAAAUUAAUGAUUAUCUAUGCAGCUUAUUCAUGUAUCGCUUCAAUUAUUGUCAAAAUUUCCCGGACUUUUAUAAUGAUUACUUCAAACAAAAUAACGAACUAUACAACUAUAAUACUCGAAAUUCUACCAAGUUACAUGUGAGCUAUAAGAGAACAAACUAUCGCAAAUACACUGUAUUUAACAAAGGAGUUUCUAUAUGGAAUUGCCUUGAUGAAGAAAUUAAAAAUAUUAAAUCAUAUUUUUCUUUUAAGAGAACUGCAAAAUCCUAUUACUUGAUGUCUAGUUGAUGUAAAUAUUUCAGGAAUAUUAAUGACAGUAUUCUGUAAUGUACUAAAUAUUCCUUAAACAUUUUCAUAUUUGUUUGUAAAUAGUUUGUGUUUUUCAUUGCAAAUUGUCCUUAUGUACAUAAUCUAUUUUUAUAUUACUGAACACUAAAACUAUAGGGGCCUCGUCUUAAAAGUCCAACAGGAUUUCCAGAGGUCUCUAGCCCGUUUAUAUAUUCUUAAAUAUUCAACUUGUAAAUAUUAUUUGUGGGUAAAUAAAACUAAUCUAAUC